rnacentral:misc_RNA from 1 species
GUAGGUGAACCUGCGGAAGGAUCAUUACCGAGAUGGGGUCCCUCGGGGCCCGACCUCCAACCCUCUAUCUAUACACCUCUGUUGCUUCGGCGCGCCGCGAAGCUCGCUUCGCCGUCGGCCCUCGGGCUCUCGAGUGCGCGCCAGAGACCUCCAAAAACCAGUUUAAUCGAGCUAUCUGAGUCUGAUUUAAUACUUCAAAACUUUCAACAACGGAUCUCUUGGUUCUG